GUCUCUCUGUCACGCCCUCCUUCUCCUCCGGCCCCCAUCUCUCUCUCCAUCGCCAUCAGUACAGGAGCACACGACCACCACCGCCAUUGAUAUCACCAUCGCAAACCAGCAGCCAUUCUCUAUCGAGGAGACGAAAUCGAAGGGGUUUGACAUUGAGAUCGUUGGCCAAAGUUAGGCUAGAAUCAACAGAGGCGGCAAUUGAGAUGCAUAGUAGGGGCGGAAUGUAGUGAGGGAAUCAGAAACCCUAAUUUUACUUCUCUUUUCUCUCUCUCUCUCUCUCUCUCUCUCUCUUUCAUAUAUAUAUAUAUAUAUGUAUGUAUGUAUAAGCAGUUUCAGACCUCUCUCUUUCUUCAAUUCAAUUUACAGAACAUGAUGUUUUGCUUUGAUUGCUUUCUCAGAACUCAAAAGCAAAAACAAAAAGGGUUUUCUUGACAACUCCAUUUGAUUCAUCUGAAAUUCUCGUUAUCUCGGAAAUGGGGUUGUGGGAUUUCCUCAUCAAUUGGCUCUGCAGGUAUUUUCGGGAUUUUGAGGUGGAACCUAUUGGACUGAAGGAGACACCACGUAGUUGUUCCAGUGAUGAUUGUGGUGCAAGACUUAAAGACACUGUUGUUGACUGGGAGGAUGCUUUACCACCAAAGGAGUUGAAUCCAGAAGAGAAACACUGCAAAGUAGCUGAUGUUGUGUUAUGCUUGGGGACAAGCUACUUUUGCAGUUUGCAGAUAACUCCUGCAUGCAAUUUGCCUCUAAAAUCACUCUGUGGUGGGGGAAAGUUCGUAAUUGUGAAUCUUCAGGAUCUUGGUAGGCUUAUCAAAGGUUCUAUAGAACCAGUUAGAGAUUUUGUAUCUGGGUUUCAAUUUGCACCUGGGGUUUGGGUUCAUUGCUAUCUUCUGUAGAACUACUUGCUGAGGAGAGCAAUUAUGGAAGUUAUAGUAUUCGACAGUACAAUCUUCACAGCUACAUGAGGUUGACAGCUUGAAGGAAAAACUCCUUGAAAAGUUAGAACAAUUCAUUGUCGACCUUGAACUUGAUUCUAGAGAAAUGCUAAUCUUUUGAGUACGUGAUGAUAUUUUCGCAUAUCGAUAUUAGAGCUUAUUGUUGAUAAUAAAACAAUAUAUAGGUGUUUUUAUUUGCACUGUCGAUACUUUUGUUUUGUUUUAGAUACAAAUUUGAGUUCUUGAAUUAUCAAAAAUUAUUAAUAUUGUUGGAGGAUGUUUUAUAUAUUUUUGUAAGGAAUGCUUGGUUGACAUUGUAUUGUUACAUGGUUACAUAUAUAUCAUUAUU